GUGCUUGCUUUGGCAGCACAUAUACUAAAAUUGGAACAAUACAGAGAACAUUAGCACGGCCCCUGUGCAAGGAUAACACGCAAAUUCGUGAAGCAUUCCUUAUUUUU